rnacentral:rRNA from 1 species
AUUGAACGCUGGCGGCAGGCCUAACACAUGCAAGUCGAACGAGUGGCGGACGGGUGAGUAAUGUCUGGGAAACUGCCCGCUGGAGGGGGAUAACUACUGGAAACGGUAGCUAAUACCGCAUACCAUCAGAUGUGCCCAGAUGGGAUUAGGUUGUUGGUGGGGUAACGGCUCACCAAGGCGACGAUCCAUAGCUGGUCUGAGAGGAUGACCAGCCACACUGGAACUGGGACACGGUCCAGACUCCUACGGGAGGCAGCAGUGGGGAAUAUUCCGCAAUGGGCGCAAGCCUGAUGCAGCCAUGCCGCGUGUGUGAAGAAGGCCUGCGGAUUGUAAAGUACUUUCAGCGGGGAGGCGGUACCUGAAGAAGAAGCACCGGCUAACUCCGUGCCAGCAGCCGCGGUAAUUC